UUCAGAGCCGAAGUCCAAUGUGAUCCCCAUUGUGGCUGGAGUGAUUGGUGCCGUGGUGGCUGUCGUGCUGGCUGCAGUAGUCGGAAUCAUCACCUGGAGGAAGAUUGGCUCAGGGAAAAAGGGAGCUGGCUACUCACCUCCAGGAAGUUACCACCGAUCCAACUCCUCCACAGAAAAUAAGUUGGUCGGUGAAGGAACCUCUGUCCCAGCGUAAGGGAGCGGGUCAGGCUGCAGGGAUCCCAGGGAGAAGAAACCAGCACAGACUGAUCCGAUCAGCACCUUCCUGUCUCCGUUUGAUUCCCGCAGUGUCCCGUGGAGGUGUUCCAGCUCCUCUCUGCCCACUUAGCAGCUGCGUGCUUUGUAAAUGUAUUGUUAGAAAAAAUUAAUGACGGGAUUGCACAAUGUAUUCUCAACAUGAAGAAUAACAAGAAGCAUAUAAAUUAUGAUUCUUCUUACAGGGUUUCUUCUCUGAACACUGCUGUUUCUAGCUACUGGUGCCCCUGUACAACGCAAUAGCUGAUUUUGGGUGUGGUGACACUUAAGUUUUUGUUGUUAUUAUUAAUGCUUAUAAUACAGUAACUGAGUGUCGUGCUCGGAGCUGGUAGCACUGUCCCCAUCAGCAGCCUGGGAAAGCUCCAUGGGGCAGGAGUAACUUCCUGAAUCUUUGUUGUUGUCUGUAUUGUUACAACAUACUUGCAGACAGGUAUUUUGAAAUACAUUUUUAAAAAGUAAUUGACACUGGUGUGAUUAUAUUGUGUUAUUUUGACAAAUAAAAUAU